rnacentral:rRNA from 1 species
GAGUUUGAUCCUGGCUCAGAUUGAACGCUGGCGGCAGGCCUAACACAUGCAAGUCGAGCGGAUGACGGGAGCUUGCUCCUUGAUUCAGCGGCGGACGGGUGAGUAAUGCCUAGGAAUCUGCCUGGUAGUGGGGGACAACGUUUCGAAAGGAACGCUAAUACCGCAUACGUCCUACGGGAGAAAGCAGGGGACCUUCGGGCCUCGCGCUCUUGGAGCGGCCGAUGUCGGAUUAGCUAGUUGGUGAGGUAAAGGCUCACCAAGGCGACGAUCCGUAGCAGGUCUGAGAGGAUGAUCUGCCACACUGGAACUGAGACACGGUCCAGACUCCUACGGGAGGCAGCAGUGGGGAAUUUUGGACAAUGGGGGCAACCCUGAUCCAGCCAUGCCGCGUGAGUGAAGAAGGCCUGG